rnacentral:rRNA from 1 species
CCUACGGGUGGCAGCAGUGGGGAAUAUUGCGCAAUGGGGGCAACCCUGACGCAGCAACGCCGCGUGAUUGAAGAAGGCCUUCGGGUUGUAAAGAUCUUUAAUCGGGGACGAAUUUUGACGGUACCCGAAGAAUAAGCUCCGGCUAACUACGUGCCAGCAGCCGCGGUAAUACGUAGGGAGCAAGCGUUAUCCGGAUUUACUGGGUGUAAAGGGCGUGUAGGCGGGCACGCAAGCCAGAAGUGAAAUCUGAGGGCUUAACCCCCAAACUGCUUUGGAAACUGCGGGGCUUGAGUGCUGGAGAGGCAGGCGGAAUUCCUAGUGUAGCGGUGAAAUGCGUAGAUAUUGGGAGGAACACCAGUGGCGAAGGCGGCCUACUGGACAGUAACUGACGCUGAGGCGCGAAAGCGUGGGGAGCAAACAGGAUUAGAUACCCCUGUAGUC